UGUGCAGGUGAACAUUCCCAAUUCCCUCAGCCUUUCCUCUUGGGAGAAGUGCUCCAUUCCUCUGUGCUAAAACCUUCCCAGAACUCCAAAUAAUGAAGUGUUUAGACCUCAUGCCUUCAGUUCCCAUCUAACACAGCCGUGGGCAUGCUCUGACCCACGGGUGUGUGCAGGAUGAUUUGGAAUCCAAUUCUUUCUGUCUUUGCAGGAGCUGCUCGUGGCCAGCUCCAGAGCUGUUGGGGCUCAGCAGCGAUGCCAGUGAGCCAUUGGAAACUGCUCUCAGACUGCAGAUUCUGACCAGACUCGUGUCAGGGCUUCAGGACUUUCAUUCUUCACUUAUGGAUGUCACGUGGGACAAUGUCAGAGCCUCAGGUGUGUGGGAUCUGCUGCUCCCUCCUUGCCCACAAAGCCUCAUCCAUUGGAGAGCAGAGUUGGGUUGCAUCAGCUUGUUUUGUUCCUGAGGGAUUCAUGUAGACAAGGACUUAUCUCCCUGUUAGUUUCUCUACAGAAAACAUUCUGAUUAUUCUGCUGUUUUACGUUUCCUGGG
rnacentral:lncRNA from 1 species